rnacentral:lncRNA from 10 species
GUUGUGCCAGUGCUGAUCUGUCUUGAUGUGAAUGUGAACAAUGGGAACCUGAGCUGAGCAGUUAAUGCUAGGGUGACAGAAACUGGACCUCUCCCAAGACAUGUGACAGAGUAAUACAGCAGCCAACUUCUUCGCCAAAUUAAAGUUUUACAAGAUUUAACCUGUCAUCAAGACCUGGGAUUUUGGUGAAGGACAGAAUAACGGGCUCCCAGAUUCACAAGCCCCACCAAGAGGAUCACCCCAGGAACGCUUGGAGGCUGAGGAGUUCACUGAGGCUACUGCAUCUUGAGACUCAGGAUGAAGACCCAGCUUGGGGCUGUCAAAGGUUUUUUGCAUGUCUGACACCCAUGACUCCACCUGGACCUUAUGGCUCCACCCAGAAGCAAUUCAGCCCAACAGGAGGACAGCUUCAACCCAUUACGAUUUCAUCUCUGCCCCAACCA